rnacentral:rRNA from 1 species
AGAGCGAACGCUGGCGGCAGGCUUAACACAUGCAAGUCGAGCGCCCCGCAAGGGGAGCGGCAGACGGGUGAGUAACGCGUGGGAACGUACCUUUUGGUUCGGAACAACACAGGGAAACUUGUGCUAAUACCGGAUAAGCCCUUACGGGGAAAGAUUUAUCGCCGAAAGAUCGGCCCGCGUCUGAUUAGCUAGUUGGUGAGGUAACGGCUCACCAAGGCGACGAUCAGUAGCUGGUCUGAGAGGAUGAUCAGCCACAUUGGGACUGAGACACGGCCCAAACUCCUACGGGAGGCAGCAGUGGGGAAUAUUGGACAAUGGGCGCAAGCCUGAUCCAGCCAUGCCGCGUGAGUGAUGAAGGCCCUAGGGUUGUAAAGGCUACGUUUUAACGGGGAGUAUAAUGACGGUACCGUAGAAUAAGCCCCGGCUAACUUCGUGCCAGCAGCCGC